AUUAAGUAAGUGACUUUACAGUGAAACUUGUGCCAAACCUAAGAAAGUGUGCUUUAUCAAGUAAGUGCGUGAAGAAGGAAUGUAUGCUUCAGACACACUAUUUGCUCGGCAUCAAUUAAAGGUUAAGCAUUGUCAGUUGUAAUGAAAGAUAACUAUUCUUUCUGCUUUUUUUCAAGUUCUUCAAUUUCUCUUCAAUGAGUCAAAAAUUUGAAGUAGCUAAAGAAAUUGUGAGGAAGUCUAGAGCUCCUUAGUCAAAGGAGGAUGAUCUAGAGAAUAAUAAAACUAAAGUGGAAAUACAUAUUGGACCAUCUGUUGGAGCAUCUAUAAGUGGGAGGAAAUGUGUAACAAAGAUGAAGUAUUUGAAGAAGAGACAUGUUCAAAGACAAGAUUUUGACUCAGAUGCUGAUGAAGGCUGGAUUACUUUAUUUGAAUCAGGUGGUUUGUCUAGAGUGCAAGUAUGAAGAUUUUCAAUUCCUUGUGUUUUUGUUUUAGUAUGAUUGAUUUUAUAUGUUAUUUAUUUUGUUAUUGGAUCUCUAAUAAGUUGUUAACAAUCCUGGAUUUGUUAUGAUAUUCUCUAGAUCUGGUUAUCAA